AAGGAGGAGUAGGUGGAGCUCAGAGGAUCUUUGGGGCAGUGAAACUACUCUGUAUGAUACAGUAAUGUUGGGUACAUGUCAUUAUGCAUCUGUCCAAACCCAUAGAAUAUACACCAAGAGUGAACCCUCACAUAUACUAUCGACUUUGGGUGUAGUGCUGUGUCAAUGUAGGUUCU